AAUACAAGACAUCCAGUUAAAUUUGACUUUCAGAUAAACAAUAGUAUUUUAAGAUCAGUAUGUCCCAUGUAAUAUUUGGGACAUACUUAAACUAAAAAACUAUUCAUUGUUUAUUUUAAAUUCACAUUUAACUAGACAGCCUGUAUUUU
rnacentral:miRNA from 1 species